GCCCCGGCCGCGCGGCGGCGGCUCCGCCUCGGAGCGCUUUACGGCAGCCCGCUGUGCGGCGCGACCUCCGCCGUAAAGCGGUCGGCGGUGCCGGGGGCGGGCCGGAAAGGACGCGCUGCAGGGACUCCGGGAGCUGGGGCGGUCGCUGCUCUCCACUUCCUCCAGGAGAGAAGUACUGACCAGAGAACGCCCGUGGAGGGGCCUGCAGUACGGACACCUGCUCCAUGCCCGGAAGAGAGCGGAAACCAGGCACACCAUUCACAAGUAAAUGACCAAGGAACCCCGCCCCCGGCCCGCCUCCCUCCGUUUAAGAAGCCAAUCUGAAGAGCGCUAAGGCCAGACACCCUCGAGGGAGAAUCUAGGGGCAGGGCUGCAAAACUGGGCUUGGAAGUUAGGCAGACAUCGUGGAGUCCGGGUGCACCUGCUGGAGCACAAAGCACCACUUGCAGACAUCCUGACCGCCCCCCUUUGAGGUUGGGGUGGGGACUGACCCCAAGGCAACGGGGAUGUCUGAUUCUGAAUGUUGGGUUAGACAGACUCAAGUGCGGCACCUGGAGUCAGUUCCUUGCUCCUCUCUUCUCGCCAGGGCUGCUCUGAAGGUGUUUGGGCUGGAAAUGCUGUCUUUGAUGCUGGGGAGUGGGGAGAGGAGGGCCAGGUGCAUCUCAUUUGGCCUUCAGAGUCAGGAAGUCAGAUGCCGCAUCGUUGUGAAUUUCCCCACAGGGAUCCUCCGCUGGUCUUCUGACCGAAUUUCCCCACAGGAAUCCGCAGGUCUUCUGACUGCUAGUUUUAACCCUCUGAAGCCUUGUGAGUCACUCGCUCACACACACCAACCCCAUCCAGUCCUCCCAGGCCAUCUCUUCCAUACGGAUGGUAACAUGCCAAGACUGUCCUAGAGGAAAUGAUCACGAUCACGUGGAGGAGGAAACGGACGUGGGAGAAGGCCCGCCAAACCAGCAGCCUCACCCCGCGGUUUACUCCGCUGCCCACCCCACUCUGCUCCGGGGGCUGGCAGGCUUUUGGCCCCACGCCAAGCCCAGCUCCUAUCUGCAACAAGAUUUAUGAUCAGUAGUCAUGUGGGGGACCUUAAGCAUGGAUCCCAGGGGAAAGGGGGUGAGUUAGACACAAGCGAAGGGCUGAAGGCCGGCUCUCCAUCAGCUGCUGGGCUGUGCCGUGCCCCACCUGUACUUGGCGAAGAGUGAUGAGGGCUGAGGCAGCCUCUCUGUCCGUGGGUGUGGAAGAUGCACACACUCCUAGCGGAAGCCUUCGAGACAGCAGCGCAGACCGCUGGACACUGCGUUUCUAUGCCCAACUUGGAGGUGUUAUCAUCUCCCUAAGCACGAAGUAUAUGAAGGAGUCAAUUUAGGUCAGACUGAGGGGAGAAAAACCAUGAAGCUUCAGGCUGUGUUGAGGGCGAGGAGGGCUGGGCCUUGAGGGACCUCUCCUCAGAGCAGCACAGCCCAAUAAGGAGAACACAGCAGGAAGGUGAGGCAGGGACCCAGGAACCCGACUUCUCCCUUUUUUUUUUUUUGACACACACAGGUUCUCACUGUGUCUCCCAGGCUAGAGUGUAGUGGCACAGUCUCGGCUCACUGCAGCCUCAACACCCCAGGCUCAAGCCAACCUCCUGCCUCAGCCUCCCGAAAAGCUGGACUAUAGGUGCACACUACCACGCCAGGCUAAUUUUUUGUCUUUUUUAAUAGAGACAGGGUUUCGCCAUGUUGGCCACGUUGGUCUCGAACCCCGGGCCUGAGUUCUAUUUCUAAGCAGUACAAUUUGCUUGAUUUAAUGGGGGAGUGGCAUCCAGAACUGUUUUAAAUUUUUUAAUUUUGGCCAGGCACGGUGGCUCAUGCCUGUAAUCCCAGCACUUUGGGAGGCCGAGGCGGGCAGGAUCACAAGGUCAGGAGAUCGAGACCAUCCUAGCUAACACAGUGAAACCCCGUCUCUACUAAAAAUACAAAAAAAUUAGCUGGGCAUAGUGGCGGCGCCUGUAGUCCCAGCUACUCGGGAGGCUGAGGCAGGAGGAUGGUGUGAACCCGGGAGGCGAGCUUGCAGUGAGCCGAGAUCACGCCACUGCACUCCAGCCUGGAUGACAGAUUAAAAAAAAUUUUUUUUUAAUUUUUUGAGACAGUCUUUUUUUUUUUUUGAGAUGGAGUCUCACUCUGUCGCCCAGGCUGGAUGGAGUGCAGUGGUGCCAUCUCGGCUCACUGCAAGCUCUGCCUCCCAGGUUCACGCCAUUCUCCUGCCUCAGCCUCCCGAGUAGCUGGUAUUACAGGCACCUGCCACCAUGCACGGUUAAUUUUUUUGUAUUUUUAGUAGAGACGGGGUUUCAUUGUGUUAGCCAGGAUGGUCUCCAUCUCCUGCCCUCUUGAUCCGCCUGCCUCGGCCUUCCAAAGUGCUGGGAUUACAGGCAUGAGCCACCACGCCUGGCCUAUUUUUUGAGACAGAGUCUUACACUGUUCAGGUUGGAGUGCAGUGGCAUAAACUCGGCUCACUGCAACCUCUGCCUCCUAGGUUCAAGCAGUUCUCCUACCUUGGCCUCCCAAGUAGCUGGGAUUACAGGCGCACACACAUCACUACACUGGCUAAUUUUUUCUAUUUUUUAGUGGAGAUUGGGUUUCACCAUGUUGACCAGGCUAGUCUUGAAUUCCUGACCUCAAGUGAUCCACCAGCCUUGGCCUCCCCAAAGUGGUGGGAUUGUAGGUGUGAGCUGCCACACCCAGUUUUUUUGUUUUUUUUGUUUGAGACAGUCUUGCUCUGUUGCCCAGGCUGGAGUGUGCAGUGGCACAGUCUCAGCUCACUGCAACCUCUGCCCCCGGGGUUCAAGUGAUCCUCCAGCCUGGGCCUCCCAAGUAGCUGAGAUUACAAGUGUGCACCACCAGGCCCAUCUAGUUUUUGUAUUUUUAGUAGAGACAGGGUUUCACCGGGUUGGCCAGAACUUCUGACCUCAGGUGAUCCACCUGCCUCGGCCUCCCAGAGUGCUGGGAUUACAGGUGUGAGCCACUGCGCCCGGCUUUUAUCUUUACAUCGAACCAAAGAGGAUGCCAAGGAUCUUCACUGGCUCUCACAUAAGACGGCCAUGAUCAGGUACUGGCUCACUGCAUGGCCCAGGCUGCUGCUUUCUCUGAUACAACCUCCCCGAGCCUCCUCACCUCAGCUUUUUAAAUUUUUUUUCAGACAGGGUCUCACCCCGUGGCCCAGGCUGGACUUGCGAUCACAGCUGGCUGCAGCCUCAACCUCCUGGGCUCAAGCGAUCCCAGGAGCUGUGGGUAAAUCGAGUGAACUGCACUGUGUUGAAGGUGCAGGAUUGGAGUCCGGGUGCUGGGGGACUCACCCUCUCGCUCCUGGAGUCCAGAAGCCAGGACACCUUGGUCACUGUCCUGUGGCCUGCUUCACCCCAGGGCCCUCCUUCAGAAAUUAGUUGGAGUUUUUUUUAGUAACUGCUCAAGUCAGCUAUGAGUCACUGACCAAAGGACAAAGUGGUGCUGAACAGUGACUGCCAGGCUCCUAUCUGAGGCUCAGAGAGCACUUGUUCUAGACGCUUUCUGUUGUCACAGGGAAAGACAGCUCAAGCAGGAACACAGGCAGUGUGUCACCCCCAGGCCUCACUCCUUGCUGCACCUGUGCAGUCUGGCCUUCCUGGGCUUUGUCCUUCACCUGCUGUUUGACCACAUGUACCUGUCCACAAAGCAGUGACUGUGGGGCAGUCGCAGGGCUGACAGGUGCGGCAGAGGCAGAAGAGGCACCCAAGGGCGGCGGGGCCGUCAAACACUGACGCACUCUCCUCCUCCCCCAGAUGUUAGCACUUUAAGAAACUUAUCGAGGAGCCAAGGUUGGGAGGGAUCGGCUGGGGAAGUGGGAUCCCCACCUUUAAAUGGACCAUGCACAUACACGUAAAACAGUGAUAUCUUGGAGACAAGUUAUCAAAUCCCCCCACACUGAGCAGAUGCCAGACAACAGUUGAGUGCGCAGGAAGGACACACCAGGACCAGGCAGUUGCUUCAGGCGCUUUUAUUAGGUUCCACUGCAGGGCUGGGGUCAAUGUAAUGCAAAUCCAAGCCCAGUGAUGCACACCUGUGAGCCGAAACAGAGCCGAAGCAGGAGCACCUGUGUCCCAGGAGCAGCUGGUUGGAGGGAGCCAGGGCCAGGCCCCACCUCCUCUCGGGACCAGGAGACUGGCAGCCGCUGUGUUCACCUGGGCAGGUGUGCACCCAGUCACCCCCACUGGAUUAUGGUGCUGGUAGCAUGAGAGGGUGUGUCCACACCAAGGGCAGGUGAAGAUGCGAGGUGGGGCUGAGACCUCCUUCCCACAAGAGGAGGUGGCUGAGCCUCCCAGGGCCUGAACUCUCACAGCAGGGCUCACCCCCAAGCCUGUAUGCUUAGCUCUGACUCUCUUUGGACAAUAAAAUAAAGUGCAUUACUGAACAAA